UGUGCACUAUCAUCUCAGAGUUGUCUAGCACA
rnacentral:piRNA from 1 species